AUGAAAAAUAUUUUACUAAAAAGAAAUUCUGGCAACUCUGCUUAAAUAUAUGCUAAAUUAUUUUCAACACAUGUGUACUUAAAUUUAAAUUAUCUACUUUUCACAAAUAAAAAAUUUUAUUCUCUUUCAAAAAAAAAACAUGUGGCAACUACAGUACAAAAUUUCUCUUUAAAACAUUUUUUCUAUAAUAAUUUACCACCAAUCUAAUGCGCACACAAUGGUACAAACAGACACGCAUAGAAUUUCAGAAUUUCAAUAUACUCGAACACAUCAUACUUAUUGAAAUUCUUUGGCGUCGGCUUGCGUAUUUGCCGACCCCUCUAUUCCCUUUCCACUUUCCGCUGUUUCUUCUUAUUUACAUAUUCCCCCUGUUUAUUUAUCUUCGAUUAGCGAUAGUUUCUUUGUUUGUGAAAUUAAUUCACUUUGAAAUAUUUUCAUGCACACAAAGGUGUGUCUGUGUGUGUGUCUGCAGGAAGGGAGCGCAGUGCGUAUGAGGAAUGUCGAAUCUGUUUAUUGAGUGUCUGGCAUGGGCGAGUGAGCGCGCGGCUGUUCUCGCAUUUAUUUAUCGCUUCUUCGUGUGUUCGCGAUAGAAAUGUAGGUGAGUGUGACAUCAAUUAACGUUUACGCAAAUCGCCAGGGAAAUGUGUGCUGACGUCGGCAGCUGUGCCGAAAAUAUGUGUUUAUCUGCAUGCCAGUGACUAAAUUCCUAUAACAAACGAAGCAGCCGAUGUUUUCUAUUUUAUUUUAAAUAUUUCCUCACACACACACACACUUGUCUCCUUGUUUGGCUACAGAAGACAGGCUUCGUGACAUUUUUUAUGCGAUGUGACAUGCGUUGUGCCUUCUGCAAUUAUCCCAACCAUUUCCUGCAACGGUGCGUUAGCUGAUUACUUUUUACCGUUAGCUCCACAUCUUGCGUUUCUUACGUAAGUCCAUCUCGUGUUGGCUGGUUGGUGUACUUUGUGCUUUAUUGCUCUUCUGACUCUUCUGCUUUGACAUGUACCGUCCAUUAUCUGUCGAGCGAUCUAUCCAUCUGCCGGCCGAAAUUGACGAACGUCAAAGUAAAUUGAUGGCCGUUUUUAUUAAACGAAAAUCAAGUUGCGUGCAAGCUUGUUUAUUGCGGCAGUUUGCUGACAAUCCGUCAUUGGUUAGCGUUUUAUUGCGCUUUUACGGCACAUAAAGCCGCUUCGUUUGAUUAUACUAAUUUUUUUCAAUGCGAGCAAGUCAUUUGCAUUCCGCACGGUGUCAUGGAAGUAAAUCGUCUUCUGGGAGAGAAUGACAUUUGUUUAGUUUUCCUUAUCUUUCAGUUGUUCUUUAUUGUAGAUUAUGAUAGCCUGACGAUAAGAUAAAUAUAAAGCCCCAACCCUUAGGCCAGUAUUAAUAUGAGUAGAUAUUUGACAGAUUAUGUUCGUAUUUUUUUUGUUUUUAUUAUUAUUUCGAAGUGAAAUUCGCAUAUACGUGUACAUACAUAUGUACUUAAAUAGGAUUUUUUAGAAAGACAUUUGACAGCUCUCCGAAUCACUAAAUUUAUUUUUCCAUGAGAUAGACGAGGAAAAUAAAUCAAUCAUAACUUUCAUAUAUUCAGUCGAAUAAAAUGGUUUGGCGAACAUUUGCGACCAGUCCAAAAAUAUUUCUCUUGCGUUGAGUGGAAAUAUCUGCAAGGGAGCAUCACUCAAUUUAGAGAAUUCAAUGAAGAAAUUCACAAUUUUUUAAUGUAAAUGCCGGUGGUGUAUUUGAUAAAUAUAAAGUACACGAACAUGCAUGUAGAGUCCCAAAAAAAAAAACGAAAAAAUUUCGGGGAAAUACAAUCAAAUUUUUAGGCCUCUUUAUAUUAUACCGCACUGUACUGUUUUGUUAUUGUAAUUGUAUUGCACGGCUAAACAAACCGCAAAAUUAAUAUUUUGUUGGCUGAAUGAAAAGAAAUCACUUUGGCAAACAAGCCGAACCGCGAACAAUGCCAACCCAAGCCACAGCGCCUAAAAGUAUGCAACACACACACACACAAGUGGGCGAAUUUCAGUGGAUCUCAUUCAGACGACGCAUUGCAGCAGAUCCAUCAUUUUACUGGUGAAUUUGCGAAAAUGUUGGGAUCACGCUGAAAUUCCAGCGAAAGAGAGGAAAUUCAACCGUCUGAUGAAAUGCCCAUGGGCUACGAGUAGACGCUGCGACAAAUGUAGACAUACCAUGGCUCCAGCAUUUAUUUGAUUAAAAAGAUAUACAUAAAUAUCUAGUAGAAUUCAUAUGUUCAGGCUGUUGUGGGGCGGCUGUUAUGCCUUCCGAAAUGUAAGUUAAAAUUCUGUCAGCUUACCACGUUGCUUGUAAGCGGCUUAAGCUAGCAGUCGCCUUGCGAUUAAGUUCGCAUUAUAAUUAUGCCAUUAAAUUGGCUGUAAAAUCAACAAUUUUUUCUAAAUUAAUUUCUUAUGCAAUCAAAAGCAAAUAAAACUGCGCCACGCUGCUAACUUGCCCUCGGUCGUGGGUGGAGGGUCGAGAGUUGAGAGAAUAAAAGCGGAAAAUUAGCAUUUUUAUGAUUUUUUUUUUGCCUUCGCCGGCACUUGACGUGCUCGCUGGCGUAUGAAACCGCUGGGACAGUUGACAUGCGGACUUCCGAGAAGUCUGUCUUUGUGUUGACUUUCUACUUUCUUCUAUUCUGUGUACACAAACGCACUCUUUCCAUUUGCUUUCCAGUGAAGGCAGCAAGUGGCGUCAAGGAAAAUGUCAAAAUGUCUACCAAAUGACGGCUGUGUCGAGUAUUUCAUAUUAAUUUUGCUCAUUUUCUACAUUAGCUCAUACACACAUACAAUUUAUGUGCAAAUCACCUCUGCAUCAUGUGACCGCAAAUUUUAUUCAGAGAUUUGAAUUAUUUCAUCAAAUUAAUUAGCCGAAAAAUGAAAAUUCGAGAAAAUUGUAAACAGAGAACCUUAGUAUUUAGUAUUUCAGGGCAAAUUUGCUUUUAUUUUAGGCAUUUUCGGUUUCUUGUUAAUUAAAUUCUGCCAAAAUUCGACUUAAUUAGGCUUGACUAAAUGGUUAAUUGUGGUAAGUUAGUAAAUUAUUAUUUCCAUUUCAAGAUUUUCGAGCAUUUUAGUAAAAUAGAAUACAAAUUUAGUAAAUUUAUCAUAAAAUAAAUGCAAGAAAUUUGGAUAAAUCACAAGUAAAAUUUGCUGCUAAUUGCUUCAUAAGCUUCACAAUGGAAAAAGUUGUUGAAAAAUAGAGAAAAGUUUUUAUUUUUUUUUUUGAGGUGAGUUAAUGUUAAAAGCGAAUACUAUCUCUUUCUUAUUACUGAUGUGUCUUCAAAGGACUUCUCUUAAUUCCACUUCAUUGCUUGCUUUUUAGUUUUUCUUUUCCAUUUGCUGCCAAGUGAAAGCCCUGCAGCCUGAGAAUUCUCAUAGUAUGCAAUUACCACAGUACAAUGUGAGCGCUUCAUUCUCUCUCUCUAAAUUAGGUGGCGUAGUUUUAAGCUCAUGCCGUGAGCUGAACGUGAGUUUGUGUGUGUCUGCAUGAUGCCGCAAGGCAAUAAAGAAAUUACUUUGUAGUGUGAAUUAAAUUGCGUGUUUAUAUUAUAUUUAUGUAUGUAACGGACAUGCAAAUGACACGUGUAACUAGCUCGUGAAUUCAUACAUAUAUUCCUUCUUCCUCUGUAAAAGCUCAUAGUUUGAUUUUAAAUUUCGAAUAUAUAUAUAUACAAUAAAGUAAUACACCACUCAUGGCACAAAAACAUUUCUUAACUUUUCUAAUUUUGAUUUCAAUCAUAGAUUAAUCCUUAA